UACAGAGGUCUCGAGCGUUAGGCGGAAUCACUGGGCUUAAAGCGUGUGUAGGCGGAUCGGUAAAGUACCUUGUGAAAUCCCACAGCUUAACUGUGGAACUGCUUGGUAUACUGCCAGUCUUGAGCCACUUAGGGGCUACCGGAACAAAUGGUGGAGCGGUGAAAUGCGUAGAUAUCAUUUGGAACGCCAAUGGUGAAAACAGGUAGCUGGGAGUGUGCUGACGCUGAGACACGAAAGCGUGGGGAGCAAACAGG
rnacentral:rRNA from 1 species